rnacentral:rRNA from 1 species
GACGAACGCUGGCGGCGUGCUUAACACAUGCAAGUCGAACGAUGAAGAAGAGAAACGCGAACUUCGGUUCAAAUUUCACUUCGGAUUAGUGGCAGACGGGUGAGUAACGCGUGAGCAACCUACCUCUUACAAAGGGAUAGCCUCGGGAAACCGUGAUUAAUACCAUAUGACACAUUCAUAAGGCAUCUUAAGAAUGUUAAAGCUACGGCGGUAAGAGAUGGGCUCGCGUCCCAUUAGCUAGUUGGUGAGGUAACGGCCCACCAAGGCGACGAUGGGUAACCGGGCUGAGAAGGUGAACGGUCACAUUGGAACUGAGACACGGUCCCAACUCCUACGGGAGGGAGCAGUGGGGAAUACUGCGCGAUGAAGGGAACUCUGAUGACGCGACGCCGCGUGAGCGAUGAAGGAAUUCGUUACGUAAAGCUCUGUUCGAUGGGAAGAAAAGGACUGUACCAUAGGAGAAAGCCCCGGCUAAAUACGUG